rnacentral:lncRNA from 1 species
CACCAGAUGAUUUAUACCGCUUCCUGUUGGCUUUGCGUCUUGAGUACAGCAAUGCCCUCCCUAUUCAUAGAAGAAAUGGAUGGACUUUUGAAUCGUAGGGGUCUCUUCCUCUAGUCAUAGCUCAUGAGUUGUUAUGUGUAAAUUGUUUGCUUUUUUUGUGCCUCAGUUUUUCCAUCAAAUUGCACAUCUUAAGCUAUACUGAAAGGACAUGUAGUUUAUGAAGCAUUAAAAGUAUUCUCCUUUUGGGUUUCUUCUUUAUAUAGAAAAGCAACUGAGAUAUAGUUGUAAAAGGAAAUUGUUUGUUUUUAUCUUAUUUAUACCUGUUUUGACAGCUCCCACCUUCCUCUAACUUAAAGCCAAAUUUGGAGACUAGAUACCUGGUUCCUUCUAAAUUAAUGGAGAUAAGGAAUACUAAAGCACCAGCAUUUUCCGAACAGAUUUAAGGCUCUAGAUGUUUCUUAGAAGCUAGUCAAAGACCUAAAUUGAUGUCACAGGUAUCCCUGAGUUAGAUCCAGUGCUGAAUAGUCUGGUUGGAGCCUAAUUCUCUUCUUCCUUGUUUAAUCUUCAUAAACAUUUUGGACUGGCACUAAGCCAGUGAUAGGUGUUACGGAGUCACAAAACUCCAGUCUGUAUUUUAAGAAUAAGUAAAUUUGAUGUCCUUGGUUCUGCCCCCUCCU